CUUCAACGAACCGAGCCACAGGGGCUGUUCGGUGCCGCGGUCCUGGCCGUAGGUGGCGAGCAGGGCCUGUGCCUC
rfam:Streptomyces mangrovisoli strain MTSC 149 18, whole genome shotgun sequence.